UGGGGAAUAUUGGGCAAUGGGCGCAAGCCUGACCCAGCAACGCCGCGUGAAGGAAGAAGGCUUUCGGGUUGUAAACUUCUUUUCUCAGGGACGAAGCAAGUGACGGUACCUGAGGAAUAAGCCACGGCUAACUACGUGCCAGCAGCCGCGGUAAUACGUAGGUGGCAAGCGUUAUCCGGAUUUACUGGGUGUAAAGGGCGUGUAGGCGGGAUCGCAAGUCAGAUGUGAAAACUGGAGGCUCAACCUCCAGCCUGCAUUUGAAACUGCGGUUCUUGAGUACUGGAGAGGCAGACGGAAUUCCUAGUGUAGCGGUGAAAUGCGUAGAUAUUAGGAGGAACACCAGUGGCGAAGGCGGUCUGCUGGACAGCAACUGACGCUGAGACGCGAAAGCGUGGGGAGCAAACAGGAUUAGAUACCC
rnacentral:rRNA from 1 species